GAUGAACGCUGGCGGUCUGCUUAACACAUGCAAGUCGAACGGAAUCCUUAGGGAUUUAGUGGCGGACGGGUGAGUAACACGUAAGAACCUGCCUCUAGGACGGGGACAACAGUUGGAAACGACUGCUAAACCCGGAUGAGCCGAAAGGUAAAAGAUUUAUCGCCUAGAGAGGGGCUUGCGUCUGAUUAGCUAGUUGGUAGGGUAAAGGCUUACCAAGGCGACGAUCAGUAGCUGGUCUGAGAGGAUGAUCAGCCACACUGGGACUGAGACACGGCCCAGACUCCUACGGGAGGCAGCAGUGGGGAAUUUUCCGCAAUGGGCGAAAGCCUGACGGAGCAAGACCGCGUGGGGGAGGAAGGUUCUUGGAUUGUCAACCCCUUUUCUCAGGGAAGAACGCAAUGACGGUACCUGAGGAAAAAGCAUCGGCUAACUCCGUGCCAGCAGCCGCGGUAAUAC
rnacentral:rRNA from 1 species